rnacentral:lncRNA from 1 species
GCAAGGUUGGUCUGCAGGUGGCCUCCAGGUGCAAAGUGGGAAGUAUUAAAGGUACGACAUUUGGAGGCCCCAGCGAGAAACGUCACCGGGAGAAACGUCACCGGGCGAGAGCCGGGCCCGCUGUGUGCUCCCCCGGAAGGACAGCCAGCUUGUAGGGGGGAGUGCCACCUGAAAAAAAAAUUUCCAGGUCCCCAAAGGGUGACCGUCUUCCGGAGGACAGCGGAUCGACUACCAUGUGGGUGCCCACAAAAAUUCCACCUCUGAGUCCUCAACUGCUGACCCCGGGGUCAGACACGGGGUUUCACCAUGUUGGCCAGGCCGGUCUUGAACUUGUGACGUCAGGUGAUGCACCCGCCUUGGCCUCCCAAAGUGCUGGGAUUACAGGUCCAGAUUUUGAACAAAUCUCGCUAGAGAUUGAACAGAGCUGCGCCUGGAUCCCGCCACAGUGAGGAGACCUGAAGACCAGAGAAAACACAGCAAACGGAGUCUUGCUCUGUUGUCCAGGCUGGAGUGUAGUGUGGCGAUCUCGGCUCCCUGCAAGAAUCUGCCUCCCAGAUUCACGCCAUUUUCCCACCUCAGCCCCUGGAGUAGCUGGAAGUACAGGCUCCCGCCACCACGCCUGGCUAAUUUUGUUUUUGUAUUUUUAGUAGAGACGGGGUUUCACUGUGU